rnacentral:rRNA from 1 species
AGAGAAGCUUGCUUCUCUUGAGAGCGGCGGACGGGUGAGUAAUGCCUAGGAAUCUGCCUGGUAGUGGGGGAUAACGUUCGGAAACGGACGCUAAUACCGCAUACGUCCUACGGGAGAAAGCAGGGGACCUUCGGGCCUUGCGCUAUCAGAUGAGCCUAGGUCGGAUUAGCUAGUUGGUGAGGUAAUGGCUCACCAAGGCGACGAUCCGUAACUGGUCUGAGAGGAUGAUCAGUCACACUGGAACUGAGACACGGUCCAGACUCCUACGGGAGGCAGCAGUGGGGAAUAUUGGACAAUGGGCGAAAGCCUGAUCCAGCCAUGCCGCGUGUGUGAAGAAGGUCUUCGGAUUGUAAAGCACUUUAAGUUGGGAGGAAGAGCAGUUACCUAAUACGUGAUUGUUUUGACGUUACCGACAGAAUAAGCACCGGCUAACUCUGUGCCAGCAGCCGCGGUAAUACAGAGGGUGCAAGCGUUAAUCGGAAUUACUGGGCGUAAAGCGCGCGUAGGUGGUUAGUUAAGUUGGAUGUGAAAUCCCCGGGCUCAACCUGGGAACUGCAUUCAAAACUGACUGACUAGAGUAUGGUAGAGGGUGGUGGAAUUUCCUGUGUAGCGGUGAAAUGCGUAGA